UACAGAGGCCUCGAGCGUUAGGCGGAAUCACUGGGCUUAAAGCGUGUGUAGGCGGAUGCCUAAGUGCUUUGUGAAAUCCCACGGCUCAACCGUGGAAUUGCUUGGCAUACUGGGUGUCUUGAGCCAUCUAGGGGCGAGCGGAACAAGUGGUGGAGCGGUGAAAUGCGUAGAUAUCACUUGGAACGCCAACGGUGAAAACAGCUCGCUGGGGAUGGGCUGACGCUGAGACACGAAAGCCAGGGGAGCGAACGGG
rnacentral:rRNA from 1 species